AGUCGAGCGAACGGACGAGAAGCUUGCUUCUCUGAUGUUAGCGGCGGACGGGUGAGUAGCACGUGGAUAACCUACCUAUAAGACUGGGAUAACUUCGGGAAACCGGAGCUAAUACCGGAUAAUAUUUUGAACCGCAUGGUUCAAAAGUGAAAGACGGUCUUGCUGUCACUUAUAGAUGGAUCCGCGCUGCAUUAGCUAGUUGGUAAGGUAACGGCUUACCAAGGCAACGAUGCGUAGCCGACCUGAGAGGGUGAUCGGCCACACUGGAACUGAGACACGGUCCAGACUCCUACGGGAGGCAGCAGUAGGGAAUCUUCCGCAAUGGGCGAAAGCCUGACGGAGCAACGCCGCGUGAGUGACGAAGGUCUUCGGAUCGUAAAACUCUGUUAUUAGGGAAGAACAAAUGUGUAAGUAACUAUGCACGUCUUGACGGUACCUAAUCAGAAAGCCACGGCUAACUACGUGCCAGCAGCCGCGGUAAUACGUAGGUGGCAAGCGUUAUCCGGAAUUAUUGGGCGUAAAGCGCGCGUAGGCGGUUUUUUAAGUCUGAUGUGAAAGCCCACGGCUCAACCGUGGAGGGUCAUUGGAAACUGGAAAACUUGAGUGCAGAAGAGGAAAGUGGAAUUCCAUGUGUAGCGGUGAAGUGCGCAGAGAUAUGGAGGAACACCAGUGGCGAAGGCGACUUUCUGGUCUGUAACUGACGCUGAUGUGCGAAAGCGUGGGGAUCAAACAGGAUUA
rnacentral:rRNA from 1 species